rnacentral:tRNA from 1 species
GCCCGGGUGGUGGAAUUGGUAGACACAAGGGACUUAAAAUCCCUCGGCACCUAGUGCUGUACGAGUUCGAUUCUCGUCCUGGGCA